rnacentral:rRNA from 1 species
AUUGAACGCUGGCGGCAAGCCUAACACAUGCAAGUCGAACGAGUGGCGGACGGGUGAGAAAUGUCUGGGACACUGCCUGAUGGAGGGGGAUAACUACUGGAAACGGUAGCAAAUACCGCAUACCAUCGGAUGUGCCCAGAUGGGAUUAUGUAGUAGGUGGGGUAAAGGCUCACCUAGGCCACGCUCCCUAGCUGGUCUGAGAGGAUGACCAGCCACACUGGAACUGAGACACGGUCCAGACUCCUACGGGAGGCAGCAGUGGGGAAUAUUGCACAAUGGGCGCAAGCCUGAUGCAGCCAUGCCGCGUGUAUGAAGAAGGCCUUCGGGUUGUAAAGUACUUUCAGCGGGGAGGCGUUACCCGCAGAAGAAGCACCGGCUAACUCCGUGCCAGCAGCCGCGGUAAUUC